rnacentral:ncRNA from 2 species
UAGGUAGGAAGCGCGAUGAAGUACAGACUGUAUCUGGUCGCUUGGUCUGUAUGGAGCCAGUAGCGAAUCCGCCCUCUUUUCGA